AAGACCAUACUUUCAAGGAUCAUUUCUGUAGUUUGUUACAAAAGAAAAUGGCCUAUGGCCAGUUCUUACAGAGGC
rnacentral:snoRNA from 1 species